rnacentral:rRNA from 1 species
UACGAGGGGGGCAAGCGUUGUUCGGAAUUAUUGGGCGUAAAGGGCGCGUAGGCGGCGCCACAAGUCACUUGUGAAAACUCUGGGCUCAACUCAGAGCCUGCAAGCGAAACUGUGGUGCUGGAGUAUGGGAGAGGUGCGUGGAAUUCCCGGUGUAGCGGUGAAAUGCGUAGAUAGCGGGAGGAAGAGCUGUGGCGAAAGCGGCGCACUGGACCAUAACUGACGCUGAGGCGCGAAAGCUAGGGGAGCAAAUAGU